ACAUGCUUUGCCCAGCUCAGCCUACAUGCCCUCUCCCGAUGUCAGUUACCAGGCUUUGCUAAUAAAACGUCUCUCCCGGCUCUUCCAGAGAGCCAGCCGCAGAGUCUCUGCCGUCUCCCCGUGCGCUCAAGCACAAGCCCCCAACUAAAAGCCUUGUCUGGAAAAUCUGCUUGGUGCCAUAACAGAUUAUCUGGUGAGCCAGGUAGGAGCACAAGGAGUAAUUUCCCUCCCUGCAAGGGAGGCUUGUGAGCCAGCGAGCCGGAGGGAGGCCCCAUUGAUUCAGCGCUGCCACCGCGACUGGCGAGUUUUCCUCUAGUCUCGCGACUGGACACUGGUCAGUAGAACCUGGACCUGCUGUAAGGUUGAAGAAGAAAAAGAAACCAUCCAAGCUGGCACUCGGUUUUGGGGAGUUCUCUUCACUGCUCACGCCGGCCCUCUUGUGUGACCUGUACUGUUGUGCUGUGUGGGGCUGGGAGCCAACUCUCUUUUCGUCGCCUGACACCUGUGCUUGCACCCUGCCCCUGGUCCUUUAAUAAGACAAGCAGACACAGGGGCUACAGUCAUGGGCAAUGCCCCAGGCAUCUUCCAAGACUCACAUCUGGGAUGUAUCAUUUCUAAAUGGAAGGAAUCCAAAUCAGAUGGUUUAAAGAAAAAGAAACUCCAGCCUGGGAAACAUAGGAAGACUCCACCUCUACAAAAAACAGGAAAAAUGAGCCGGGUGUGGGGGUGCCUUCCUGGGGUCCCAGCUACUCAGAAGGCUAAAGUGAGGAUCGCUUAAGUCCAGGAGGUUGAGGCUGCGGUGAGUUGUGGUAACACCACAGCACUCCAACCUGGGCAAUGGAGUGAGACCCUGCCUCAAAAACAAAUUUUUUUUUUUUAAUUAAAAAAAAAGAAACUGAUUUUCCUCUAUAAUACAACCUGCCCUAGUACACAUUAGAUCAAGAAAAAUGGCCAUGGGCAGAAGUGGAUCUCCUAGUUUUAACACUAUCUUACCGCCCGACCUAUUCUGUGAAUGGACAGAGAAAUGGGGAGAGACACCUAGCUACAAGCUUUUAUGAAGCUAGGACCCAAAGCUACUGGAUUCUUGUCAGGUGUGUGUGGCCCCUAUUUCCAGGUUCCUCCUGAAGGAACCUGAAGAAGCGGACCUCCACAGCCUCAGGCCCCGAGCACUCCCUCCCUACCCUAAGCAGGCCUCCUGGGGAGGGGAGCCCCUGUGCUGUCCCCAACAGCGCUCCAAUCGGACUCCAAACAGGCACCCUCUUUUGCUUCCCCACUGGCCCAGGGCUGUCUUCCCCUCAGAGAAAUGGAUGGAAACGGGGGAGUGACAAGGGUGCAAGUUCCUUUUUUUGGUGGUGGAUCUAGGACUAUGUAAAAAACACUUUGGUAGAUUUUCAGAGGAUCCUGGUAAGUUUAGAGAUGAAUUUGUUAAACUAAAUCUUGCCUUUUCAUUGACGUGGCAGGAUGUUAUGGUCACUUUGCAGUACUGAUGAAAAGCAACACAUAUUUGGAAAGGCUAAGGAAUAUGCCAAUAGCCAGGUGGUCACUAAAGACCAAUAUGCAGUCAUCUGUUUAGGGGGAGAUGCGGUCCCAGGCAUAGUCUCCACGUGAGUGAGACAAUGGAGAAAACCUAGAAAAAGCUAGAAUGAGCCACUUUGUCACCUGCCUGACUGAAGGAAGAAGGAAAUGUAUAGUAAAACCUGUACACUAUGACAGGGUCAAGAAAAUUACCCAGAGAAAGAAGGAGAUCCCAGUAGUCUUCCUCAAUCGAGUCCCUGAGGCCCUUGGGAAAUGCACCCAUGCAGACCCAGAGGCAGCAGAGGGGAAGCAUCACGUGCCAUGCAUUUUAUCCUUCAGUCAGCUCCGGACAUUAGAAGGAAAUUACAGAAAAUUUGGAGGCCAGACCCCAGACCCUGCUGUUGACUUUGGCAGAGGCGGCUUUUAAGGUUUUCAAUAACGGACAGGACACAGAUGGCAGGUAAGAAGAGGAGACUGACCAAGACAGCACAGCUUCUGGCUGCCCUAAUUCAUCCACCAUCUCAGGGUGACCCUAGGAUUCUCAGGAGACCAACCAAUCGAAGACAGCCAACCUUGGAUGGAGCCAAUGUGCCUACUGCAGGAUGGAGGGGGUCACUGGAAGAGAGGCUGCCCUGACCUCCUUAAAACAGGACAGCCGGCAGGCAACCCUGGCCAGCCGCCACUCCUCACCAAGCUUUCAGAUGAGAUUGAUACACACCGCCUGACAGCACCCUGGCUCUGACUGCAGCACACUCCAUCGUCAUCACACCACGGAGCCUCAGGUCACCCUUGAUGUGGCAGCUAGGAACUGGCCUUAGGAAAUCUAACUAUGAAACCAAGGUUAUGGAGUAUCCCACCUCAGGAAGGAACACUGAACAACUGAUUGACAGUCUUCUUGCCGCCAGCCAGACCACCAAGUGGCCCAUUAACCAAGAGAACCAGCACAACCAGAUACGCUGACCCGCAUCUCCUACCUCUCACGUGCUUUGCCCAGCCCAGCCUGCAUACCUUACUCAUGAUGUCAAUUCCCACGUUUCGCUAAUAAAAACAUCUCUGCAAGCCUCUUCAGGGAGCCAACAAG
rnacentral:antisense_RNA from 1 species